rnacentral:tRNA from 1 species
GUAAAUAUAGUUUAUCAAAACAUUAGAUUGUGAAUCUGAAGAUAGAAACUAAACUUUCUUAUUUACC